rnacentral:rRNA from 1 species
AACGAACGCUGGCGGCAUGCCUAACACAUGCAAGUCGAACGAGACCUUCGGGUCUAGUGGCUCACGGGUGCGUAACGCGUGGGAACCUGCCCUUAGGUUCGGAAUAACUCCCCGACAGGGGUGCUAAUACCGGAUAAUUUCUUCGGACCAAAGAUUUAUCGCCUUUGGGUGGGCCCGCGUUGGAUUAGCUAGUUGGUAGGGUAAAAGCCUACCAAGGCGACGAUCCAUAGCUGGUCUGAGAGGAUGAUCAGCCACACUGGGACUGAGACACGGCCCAGACUCCUACGGGAGGCAGCAGUGGGGAAUAUUGGACAACGGGCGAAAGCCUGAUCCAGCAAUGCCGCGUGAGUGAUGAAGGCCUUAGGGUUGUAAAGCUCUUUUACCCGGGAUGAUAAGGACAGUACCGGGAGAAUAAGCUCCGGCUAACUCCGU